rnacentral:rRNA from 1 species
UAGGGAAUCUUCCGCAAUGGGCGAAAGCCUGACGGAGCAACGCCGCGUGAGUGAUGAAGGUCUUCGGAUCGUAAAACUCUGUUAUUAGGGAAGAACAAAUGAGUAAGUAACUAUGCACGUCUUGACGGUACCUAAUCAGAAAGCCACGGCUAACUACGUGCCAGCAGCCGCGGUAAUACGUAGGUGGCAAGCGUUAUCCGGAAUUAUUGGGCGUAAAGCGCGCGUGUGCGGUUUUUUAAGUCUGAUGUGAAAGCCUACGGCUCAAACGUGGAGGGUCACUGGAAUCUGGAACACUUGAGUGCAGAAGAGGAAAGUGGAUUUCCAUGUGUAGCGGUGAAAUGCGCAGAGAUAUGGAGGAACACCAGUGGCGAAGGCCACUUUCUGGUCUGUAACUGACGCUGAUGUGCGAAAGCGAGGGGAUCAAACAGG